rnacentral:rRNA from 1 species
GACGAACCGUGCGAACGUUGUUCGGAAUUACUGGGCGUAAAGGGCUCGUAGGCGGCCAACUAAGUCCGACGUGAAAUCCCAAGGCUUAACUUUGGAACUGCGUCGGAUACUGGAUGGCUUGAAUUCGGGAGAGGGAUGCAGAAUUCCAGGUGUAGCGGUGAAAUGCGUAGAUAUCUGGAGGAACACCGGUGGCGCAGGCGGCAUCCUGGACCGACACUGACACUGAGGAGCGAAAGCCAGGGGAGCAAACGGG